GACGAACGCUGGCGGCGUGCUUAACACAUGCAAGUCGAACGGAAAGGCCCUGCUUUUGUGGGGUGCUCGAGUGGCGAACGGGUGAGUAACACGUGAGUAACCUGCCCUUGACUUUGGGAUAACUUCAGGAAACUGGGGCUAAUACCGGAUAGGAGCUCCUGCUGCAUGGUGGGGGUUGGAAAGUUUCGGCGGUUGGGGAUGGACUCGCGGCUUAUCAGCUUGUUGGUGGGGUAGUGGCUUACCAAGGCUUUGACGGGUAGCCGGCCUGAGAGGGUGACCGGCCACAUUGGGACUGAGAUACGGCCCAGUCUCCUACGUGAGGCAGCAGUGGGGAAUAUUGCACAAUGGGCGGAAGCCUGAUGCAGCAACGCCGCGUGCGUGAUGACGGCCUUCGGGUUGUAAACCGCUUUCGCCUGUGACGAAGCGUGAGUGACGGUAAUGGGUAAAGAAGCACCGGCUAACUACGUG
rnacentral:rRNA from 1 species